rnacentral:lncRNA from 1 species
AAGGGGCUCGAACAAAAAGCAGUUACUCCACAGAAGACCAGAGGGGUCCUCCCAGCAUUCUGGCUCUUUAAAAUGAUGAAAGUCAUCAACCUUAAAAGAAGCAAAAAAGAAGAGUAUUGAAGAUCAUCACAUGAGGGCAGAGGGCGUAAAAAAGGAUGGUGUGUGAGACCAGAAGCAGCAGCAGUCCUCGACAUCAACUACAACUUUCCUUCGCACAGUGCAUACCCUCUGAUAUACUGAACCCAACGCCUAUCCUCCAGCCCCCUAAGAACUAGAGAGGGAGCCUCACAACAUUCCAAUUUAAUCCUUCAGAAAAUUCAUUACUCUUCAAAGUUGUCUGUGGUUUUGUGACAACGAUAUGACUAGGUGCAAAAUGGCUUGCAACUAAUUAACAAACAUAGAAGCAUCCAACAAACAUAUACGUGUACAAUCUGAGGAUUUAGGGAUGAAAUCAGUUAUCCAGGUUAGAUAUCAACAAAAGAGCAGUAACUAUAAAGUUUCAUGAAGAAAGUGGCUGUUGAGGUGUGGAUUAUGAAAGUAAGACUGACAACAAGAAAUGAUUUUGUUAUAAUCAAGAAGUGAAACUAAAUAAAU